ensembl:piRNA 21ur-5395 ncRNA
UGAAUGUUGAUAUUUUGAAUU